ensembl:lncRNA
CUGAAUUGAGCUACAGUAACUGGGUAAUGGUUUCAAGUUUUGUAUCGUGGAUAAGUAACUGACAUGUUUAAAAAUAAUACAGAACAAAACAUACCAGACUAAUUUAUUUGCCGUCGGGACAUGUGGACAACAACGCCUCUGAAUAGCGCGGGUGUGAUAUUCAGAUUUGCGGACUGGAGAGAGCCAUCACUGCCCUUCAGAAACAGGAUUCCCUUCUGAACAUGUGAAUGUAUGGAGGUACAACUUCUUCAACAUAACGAAAAUGGGGCCAUCUCUUGUUCUUCAGUGUUUUCUUCUGGCAGCCGUGGUUAUUCGAGUGAUCUAUUCGCAGUCAGUGAUGGGAGUCCAGGAGAGAUGAGCGUUCCUGAACUAGGCUCCAUUCGUCCCGCCCAUUCAGCAGGUCUCUGUGUGCCGGAGACGGACAGAAAACAUAACAUCUGCCUGGUGGAGAGCAGACAGUUAUGACAAAGAAGGAUGAAGAAGGAUGCCAUGACAUACAAAUAACUAGCAAUAACUAGGGGACUGCACUAUAUCAGCCAGAGCAUUUAAGAAGCUAAUUUAUGUUAUAAUGUUACACAAGAAAAAAGAUCCUUCAAUUGCAACAGCAUUGAUUAAAA